ACAGGCGCACGAGCGACAAAGCGCCCCCACCGCCGCACGAGCGCUCAGCGAGAGAGCGAAAACGCGAAGCGGGAAUGUGCGAUCGCCUCCGUGCCCACCUCCCCCUCUUCCUUCCUCCGCUCGUCGGGGUUAGUGAGCCGUCGCCGGCGGCCGACUCGACCUGACCGAGCGAUUGGCAGAUACUUCCAAUAAUUCAGCUCGUACAUCCGAGCAGACACAGGAUAUAAACAAAGGAAAUUAAAGUGCAUAUGCCACAUAAAUUGAAACAUCAUGGUAAGUCACUGGAUCACUUCUCUCUGGGGAAAAGCCUUCGUCAAUCAUAACAGUUGGGGUCCUGGGGAAAAAGAGGUGGCAUCAGAUGUUCGCAUUCCAGGACAGAGAGCAUCUUCCUUUUGUUUAUCUCGGGCAGCUAGCUAGCUAGCAAUUCUGAUCAGAAAUCUUUACUUCUCCGCUCCAACAAGAAGCAUGUUGCAGGCGCUGAAUAUGUCCGUGAUCGAUUAAGAAUUGGGCUUCCCGUAAUUGCACAGAUAAUUGCGCAGGACUUGCAGUUGAGCCUGGAAAAAGGACUUUCUGGUAACAACCUACCUUUUGCUUGGCAUUGCUAGUGCUCUGUUCCUUUCUCUUCUCAGAAUUAUGAUCCAGGAAAGAAGUGCUCGUUCACUGCAGAUGGGAUGACCCUACCCAGGAGGCAUUAUUUUCAGAGGUGAGAGAAGGCGGGCGGCAGCAGCAAUAUAUUGGCAAGGCUGGCACUAGAAGAUCACGGGGAAGGCAAAUUUGACAAAGGAGGCAUCUUUCUUGGGGUCCCCAGAACAUAGGCCCACCCCCUCCCUAAUCCCCAUGGUACACACGAUAUAUGGAAUGAUCGGUACAGCCGGGAUUCAAGAGGGAUGGAGGAUCAGAACAGGACGGCAUCUAUAGUACACAGGGUGGGCCCGUGGAAGCUUAUACUACGCACCUUUGUGUGUGUGUGAGAGAGAGAGAGAGGGGGGGAGAGUGAGAGAUUGAUUUGGUUCUUGAAGUACUACUGGUUGUCGAAGCUCGCCGGCAUCACGGGGUGAAGCGACACCACCCGUGGUGGGGUCGUUCUGGUCGUCCGUGGAAACCAAAGUGGGCCGAAGCCGGAAACAAAGCCCAGCAAGAAAACGCCCCGGGACGGCUGAGGACGAAGCAUGACAACGAAGCAAUGCGGGGACCCUGCUGAUCCGAGGACGCCUGCUAGCAGGCGACCGCGCGCACGGCCUUCGACAGAAAGCACUAAGAAAGUGUCCGUGUCGGUCAUCGGUAGGUCUCACCCUCGCUUGGCAACGAUCUCACUUUGGCAAA